AACGAACGCUGGCGGCAUGCCUAACACAUGCAAGUCGAACGAUAUCUUCUGGUCUGGUGGCGCACGGGUGCGUAACGCGUGGGAACCUGCCUUUAGGCUCCGUAUAACUCAGAGAAAUUUGUGCUAAUACCGGAUGAUUUCUUCGGACCAAAGAUUUAUGGCCUUUAGAUGGUCGCGAGUUGGAUUGGCUAGUGGGUGGGGUAAAGGCCUACCAAGGGGUCGAUCCAUAGCUGGUCUGGGAGGAGGAUCAGCCACACUGGGACUGCGGCACGGACCAGUCUCCUACGGGAGGCAGCAGUGGGGAAUAUUGGACAGUGGGCCAGAGUCUAAUACAGCAGUGCCGCGUGAGUGAUGCAGGCCUUGGAGAUGGAAAACUCUUUUACCCGAGAUGAUAAUGACGGUACCGGGAGAAUAAGCUUCGGCUAACUCCGUG
rnacentral:rRNA from 1 species